rnacentral:rRNA from 1 species
AGAGUUUGAUCCUGGCUCAAGAUGAACGCUAGCGACAGGCUUAACACAUGCAAGUCGAGGGGCAGCAUGUCCAGCAAUGGAUGAUGGCGACCGGCGGAAGGGUGCGUAACGCGUGAGCAACAUGCCCUAUACAGGGAGAUACACCAGGGAAACUUGGUCUAAUAUCCCAUAGCAUUCAUUGAAGGCAUCUUUAAUGAAUUAAAGCUUCGGUGGUAUAGGAUUGGCUCGCGUGACAUUAGCCAGAUGGUGAGGUAACGGCUCACCAUAGCAAUGAUGUCUAGGGGUUUUGAGAGGAAGGCCCCCCACACUGGGACUGAGACACGGCCCAGGCUCCUACGGGAGGCAGCAGUGAGGAAUAUUGGACAAUGGAUGGAAAUCUGAUCCAGCCAUGCCGCGUGCAGGAAGACGGCCUUAUGGGUUGUAAACUGCUUUUAUACGGGAGCAAUAAGGGUUACGAGUAAUCCGAUGAGAGUACUGUAUGAAUAAGGAUCGGCUAACUCCGUGCCAGCAGCCGCGGUAAUACGGAGGAUCCGAGCGUUAUCCGGAUUUAUUGGGUUUAAAGGGUACGUAGGCGGAAAUGUAAGUCAGUGGUGAAAUCCUGCAGCUUAACUGUAGAAUAGCCGUUGAAACUGUGUUUCUUGAGUACAUUUGAGGUAGGCGGAAUGUGGUGUGUAGCGGUGAAAUGCAUAGAUAUACCACAGAACACCGAUUGCGAAGGCAGCUUACUAAACUGUCACUGACGCUGAUGCACGAAAGCGUGGGUAUCAAACAGGAUUAGAUACCCUGGUAGUCCACGCUGUAAACGAUGAUUACUGGUUGUGUGCGAUACACUGCAAGUGACUGAGCGAAAGCAUUAAGUAAUCCACCUGGGGAGUACGUCGGCAACGAUGAAACUCAAAGGAAUAGACGGGGGCCCGCACAAGCGGUGGAGUAUGUGGUUUAAUUUGAUGCAACGCGAAGAACCUUACCUGGUCUUGACAUCCCGGGAAUUCCUAGGAAACUAGGAAGUGCCUUCAUCCGAAGGAACCUGGAGACAGGUGCUGCAUGGCUGUCGUCAGCUCGUGUCGUGAGAUGUUGGGUUAAGUCCCGCAACGAGCGCAACCCUUGCCUUUAGUUGCCAGCAGUUCGGCUGGGCACUCUAAAGGGACUGCCGGUGUCAAACCGGAGGAAGGUGGGGAUGACGUCAAAUCAUCAUGCCCCUUAUGUCCUGGGCUACACACGUACUACAAUGGCUGUUACAGAGGGUAGCUAUACCGCGAGGGGGAGCCAAUCCCUAAAGGCAGCCCCAGUUCGGAUUGCAGGCUGAAACUCGCCUGCAUGAAGUCGGAAUUGCUAGUAAUGGCAGGUCAGCAUACUGCCGUGAAUACGUUCCCGGGCCUUGUACUCACCGCCCGUCAAG